rnacentral:rRNA from 1 species
AUUCCAGCUCCAAUAGGAUAUAUCAAAGUUGUUGCAGUUAAAAAGCUCGUAGUUGAAUUUCUGGAAGGUAGAAGUGUUUUUUUAGAGAAGCAAUUUUUUAUGAAAGACACCGCUUUCCAUUUUGUGGAUUUCUGUUUUGUAUAAAGAUAGUUUACUCUAUUUUUGUAUAAAAUACCACUCCGUCACUGAGAGCAAAUUGGAGUGCUCAAAGCAGGCUUUAUUAGCUUUGAACAUUUUAGCUUGGAAUGACAAGAUAUGACUUUUGUUUUAUUUUGUUGGUUAUGAAAUAAAAGUAAUGAUUAACAGGAACAGUUGCGGGGGUACUCGUAUUGAAAGGUCAGAGGUGAAAUUCUUGGAUUCUUUCAAGACGAACGACUGCGAAAGCAUUUACCAAGGAUGUUUUCAUUAAUCAAGAACGAAAGCUCGGGGAUCGAAGAUGAUUAGAUACCAUCGUAGUCCGACGCCAUAAACGAUGCCGACUCGGGAUUAUUUUGUUAGUUUAAAUUAAAAAAGAACACAAAGUAGCACCGUAUGAGAAAUCAAAGUCUUUGGGUUCCGGGGGGAGUAUGGUCGCAAGGCUGAAACUUAAAGGAAUUGACGGAAGGGCACACCAGAGGUGGAGCCUGCGGUUUAAUUUGACCCAACACGGGGAAACUUACCAGGUCCAGACAUGAUGAGGAUUGACAGUUUGAAAGCACUUUCUUGAUUUCAUGGGUGGUGGUGCAUGGCCGUUCUUAGUUGGUGGAGUGAUUUGUCUGGUUGAUUCCGAUAACGAACGAGACGGGGUGAAUUUACCAGUUUGUUAUAUAAUUUACGUUAUAUAAGACUUCUUAUUCGACAACUUGGUUUUACCAAGAGGAAGCGCCCCGCAAUAACAGGUCUGUGAUGCCCUUAGAUGUUCUGGGCUACACGCGCGCUACAAUGACGAAUUCAACGAGUUUAAAAUUUAUUCCUUAUCCGGAAGGAUGUGGGUAAUCUUUUCAAUAUUCGUCGUGAUGGGGCUAGAUUUUUGCGAUUAUUAAUCUUCAACGAGGAAUCUCUAGUAUGUGCAAGUCAUCAGCUUGCGCAGAAUGCGUCCCUGCCCUUUGUACACACCGCCCGUCGCACCUACCGAUUGGACGAUCCGGCAAGAUGUUUGGAGUUGUUUUGAUUGUAGAGUAAUUUAUGAUGAAAAUGACAAAGCUCUU